CUAGCCUGUUAUCUGUGAUAAAGCACACUGAAGUUAGGUUUGGAAUGCAUCCUUAUCAUGAAUGCUCUACACCUCCACCUCCAUCUCCCACAACCUAGGUAACAGCUUUGAGACUCACUAAAAGUUGAGUCCCCUGAAUGAUGUAGGCUAUGGGGCCACAUAAGACUUUGUCCAUCCAGGGUUACAUAGCACGACAACUUUAAACUAAAAAACCAACAUUUUUCACACAACUCCAGGUUGUUACUAACAAAUUACAAGUGUCAUCAAGGGAUAACUACAAGUAGAAGCACCAUUUUUGGAUGGAAAAAACCCUUCAGGAAAGUAUACAUAUCAAAUGUAACAUGUAGUGUAACAAAGUAUGAACAGUAAGGUUUUUACAUACAGUAUUACAUACGUACAUAACUUUUUUUUACAGGAAUUUCCAACCAAGUUUGAUUAUGUACAUUGUAUACAUGUUAUAAACCACUGUACGUAUGGUUACUGUAUGUAACUUACUAAACAUACAUACAUGACUUAACUUUGAUACUUUUUUGGUACAUUCCAGAAACCCAGGACCCCCUCCAUGAUGCAGGCUAUGGGGCCACAUAAAACUUUGUCCAGGGUUACUACAUAACAUAGCACGACAACUGUAAACUACUACAGUACUAAAGGUAAGGAAUUAUACAUAGUAGUAAUUAACAUACAUUAAGUAAGUUUUAUACUAAAAAAAGUGACCAAGAUCUCUCACAUGGGAUAAGUGAUCAAGGUCCCUCAUGGAAUUACGUACACUCCCUGCUGAACAGGGGGUGUAGACCAAUCAUUUACAACAUGCAUACCAGUUGAUAUUAAACCACUGUAUGGUGCAUAUUACUGUAUGUAACUUACUAUGCAUAGAGUACUUACUGACAAAAUU